AAAUCCAGACUCAAAAUAAGGCCCUGGGAUAACUGACCAGAUUGCCAGGACUGCACAUUUUGACCAAAGAUGAAUAUUCUGUAGGCAUUCUGGACGCAUCCUGGAAAUGGUACGUCUGACAGCUUUAAAUAGAGCAGAAAGCAGAACUCCUGGAUUCAUCCCAGCCGAAGAGUUCUGUGGACCUCUGGGGAGGAGCGAAUGACAAGAUGAUGGACCUAGAGAACUGCUUUGGAAUCCAAGCUUCACACCAGUUCCUGAGCAAUGCCACUUCAUAGAAGGCUCAAGACUUCAGCCCUAUGCCUACUUAUCGUCUUUGUUACGGAACAUCACCCGAGGACUCCAUGUGGUCAGCGUGAUCUGAUGUGUAAUCAAGGCUAACCACUUUUCCUGAACCAAAUAUUGAUGCUGAAUCAAGCCUGAGUAUAUUUGCACUGACAGGAGGCACUGAGACUCUGAAAGUGGGACAGGUCUGGAGCUCUGGAGUUAUGUCACCAGGGAAGCUAGGGCAACAGAACCCUGGACAUGUGGGUCCGAGAUCUAGGUUUAAAUCCCAUCUCCCCUGAUACUUCUUAUUGCUGUGGGUGGUUCCCGUAGAGGCUCACUGCUUCUCAAAGUGCUGAAAAGAAGUGAGAGUUCAUCCUGGAUGGGACAUCUCUACCACUCUCACCCUUCCAGGGCUCAGGGAACAUCUGGGAAGAGGGGCAGAAAGAACGUAAGAGUCAGAGGAUAGAGAGUGUGAUGGUGAGUUUUAUGCCAAUGUGACACAAGAUACAGUCACUGGAAAGGAGGGAACCUCAACUGAGAAAAUGCCUCCAUAAUACCUGGCUGAAGGUCAUUUUCUUAAAUAGUGAUUGAUGGGGGAGGGCCCAGCCCAUUGUGGGUGGUGCCAUCUCUGGACUGGUGGUCUUGGGUGCUCUAAGAAAGUAGACUGAGGAAGCCAUUGGAGAGCAAGCCAGUUGGCAGCACCUUCCAUGACCUCUGCUUCAGCUCCUGCCUCCAUGUUCCUCUCCAGUUAGUGUUUCUGUCCUGUCUUUCUUUGAUGUUGAAUGGUGAUAUGCAAGUGCAAGCCAAAUAAACCCUUUCCUUUCC
rnacentral:lncRNA from 1 species